rnacentral:rRNA from 1 species
UACGUAGGUGGCAAGCGUUGUCCGGAAUUAUUGGGCGUAAAGCGCGCGCAGGUGGUCUUUUAAGUCUGAUGUGAAAGCCCCCGGCUCAACCGGGGAGGGUCAUUGGAAACUGGAAGACUUGAGUGCGAGAGAGAAGAGUGGAAUUCCAUGUGUAGCGGUGAAAUGCGUAGAGAUAUGGAGGAACACCAGUGGCGAAAGCGGCUCUCUGGACUGUCACUGACACUGAGGCGCGAAAGCGUGGGUAGCAAACAGG